GGAAUCUUCCACAAUGGGCGAAAGCCUGAUGGAGCAACGCCGCGUGUGUGAUGAAGGCUUUCGGGUCGUAAAGCACUGUUGUAUGGGAAGAACAGCUAGAAUAGGGAAUGAUUUUAGUUUGACGGUACCAUACCAGAAAGGGACGGCUAAAUACGUGCCAGCAGCCGCGGUAAUACGUAUGUCCCGAGCGUUAUCCGGAUUUAUUGGGCGUAAAGCGAGCGCAGACGGUUGAUUAAGUCUGAUGUGAAAGCCUUCGGCUCAACCGAAGAAGUGCAUCGGAAACUGGGAAACUUGAGUGCAGAAGAGGACAGUGGAACUCCAUGUGUAGGGGUGAAAUGCGUAGAUAUAUGGAAGAACACCAGUGGCGAAGGCGGCUGUCUGGUCUGUAACUGACGCUGAGGCUCGAAAGCAUGGGUAGCAAACA
rnacentral:rRNA from 1 species